rnacentral:rRNA from 1 species
CGUAGCCGCGGGAAUACGUAGGGUGCGAGCGUUAAUCGGAAUUACUGGGCGUAAAGCGUGCGCAGGCGGUUUUGUAAGACAGGCGUGAAAUCCCCGGGCUCAACCUGGGAAUGGCGCUUGUGACUGCAAAGCUAGAGUGCGGCAGAGGGGGAUGGAAUUCCACGUGUAGCAGUGAAAUGCGUAGAGAUGUGGAGGAACACCGAUGGCGAAGGCAGCCCCCUGGGCCAAUACUGACGCUCAUGCACGAAAGCGUGGGGAGCAAACAGGAUUAGAUACCCGCGUAGUCCCUGUCUCUUAUACC